rnacentral:lncRNA from 1 species
CAGAAAGCUAAUGGAACAUAAAUGAUGGACUUUUUCGACCGAAAAUACAUCUGUUGUGGACCUGGGAUUCCUGGAAGUGCUUUCUGAUGAAGACAACUAAAGGUUUGUCAUCUGAUUUCUUUGAGUCUGGUGGAUAUGGAUGUAACCAUACUACAAGGCAGGACAGUUUUCUGCAUCCAGCUUGAGGCUUGGUACCAGCAGGAAUAUGGAGCACUCUGUUAGUGAGUCUGCUGAGCUAUGGAACUCCAGAGCAGCACCCUGCCACCCUGUUUUCAGCUAUCUGCAGACAGUUCCCUGAGUAAGGAUGCAACUAUCAA